AUGUCAUAGAAUAGUUAGGUGCCAAAAAAUGUCAUAGUAUAGGAGGGUGUCAAAUACGGUCAGAGUAGGAAGGUGUCAAAAACAGUCCAAAAAUGUCAUAGUAUAGUAUGGCGUCAAAUAUGGUCAGAGUAGUAAGGUGUCAAAAACCAUCAAAAAAUGGUCAAAAAAGGUCAUAAAAUGUCAUUUUAUAGCAAGGGGUCAAAAACGGUCAAAUAUGGUCAGAGUAGUAAGGUGUCAAAAACCAUCAAAAAAUGGUCAAAAAAAGUCAUAAAAUGUCAUUUUAUAGCAAGGGGUCAAAAACGGUCAAAUAUGGUCAGAGUAGUAAGGUGUCAAAAACCGUUAAAAAUGGUCAAAAAAUGUCAUAGAAUAGUUAGGUGCCAAAAAAUGUCAUAGUAUAGGAGGGUGUCAAAUACGGUCAGAGUAGGAAGGUGUCAAAAACAGUCCAAAAAUGUCAUAGUAUAGUAUGGCGUCAAAUAUGGUCAGAGUAGUAAGGUGUCAAAAACCAUCAAAAAAUGGUCAAAAAAGGUCAUAAAAUGUCAUUUUAUAGCAAGGGGUCAAAAACGGUCAAAUAUGGUCAGAGUAGUAAGGUGUCAAAAACCAUCAAAAAAUGGUCAAAAAAAGUCAUAAAAUGUCAUUUUAUAGCAAGGGGUCAAAAACGGUCAAAUAUGGUCAGAGUAGUAAGGUGUCAAAAACCGUUAAAAAUGGUCAAAAAAUGUCAUAGAAUAGUUAGGUGCCAAAAAAUGUCAUAGUAUAGGAGGGUGUCAAAAAACAUGUCAUAGUAUGGCAUCAAAUGUUAUAGUAUAGUUUGGUGUCACAAAUGGUCAAGUAUGGUCAGAGUUGUAGGGUGUCAAAAAAUUGCCAAAAAAUGUCAUAGUAAGGUGUUCAAAAAUGUCAUAGUAUAGUUAGGUGUCACAAAUGGUCAAAUAUGGUCAGAGUAGUAAGGUGUCCAAAAUGGUCCAAAAAUGGUCAAAAAAUGUCAUAGUAUAGGAGGGUGUCAAAUAUGGUCAGAGUAGGAAGGUGUCAAAAACAGUCCAAAAAUGUUACAGUAUAGUAAGAUGUCAAAAAAUGUCAUAGUAUAGG